rnacentral:lncRNA from 1 species
GCCUUUGACGGGUAAGCAAUACUCAGAGAAGGUGGCAGAAAAUUGUGUUGCCCAUUGGAAAGCAAUAGGAACCUACACCGAUGCAGAGAGUCAGGCCAUUGAAGAGUUCCUCAACAUUUUCCAGAAUGAAACCUUCCCGCUGGGUGCCUCCAUCCUUUUUACUCAAUCAAUGCAGAGAGUCAGGCCAUUGAAAAGUUCCUCAACAUUUUCCAGAAUGAAACCUUCCUGCCUGGUGCCUCCAUCCUUUUUACUCAAUCACCUGUUGGGGCAUUGACGGUAUGUAGGAUCCAGUGUUAAAAAUAGCGUGAAGCGAGGAAAAGUGACAACCCCCAUUUCACAAGAAGCAAGAAGCGAGAAGCGAAUCGCUUGCUUUUUUAAAGUGAAGUGGAAUUUAAAAAAAAAUUUAAAAUAAAUACAGCAUAGACAACACAUAUAAUUGUAAGCAAAUGUUCAAUACUUGAAUUAAAAAACUAAAGAGUAGCAUCAAUUAAAGCACAAAAUGAGCAUCCCAUUAAAAUAUCAACUACAUAACAUAUAAAAAACACAAUAAGAACGAAGAAUAAAAUAUAUAUAAUUGGGCAGAAUGUGGGCAGAAACGGGGUAGAAUUUUUCUGAAAAAAUUUGCCAACAUUUUGGCGCUUUUGGACAUUUAGAAAGAAGAAGAAGAACCCUUUGCUUGAAACUUGAAAGCUGUUGUUGUAAUGUUGAAGAAGAAGAACCCUUUGCUUGAACAAAUCGUGCUUUAUGCGAGGAAGAAAUAGCUGGUUUUUUGAGGAAGAAAAGGCUGGUUUAGAACUCUAGUUUGAAGAAGUAUCUAAAACAGAAGACUCAAUAAUUUGGGUUUUUUAAUUGAAAAAGACUCGUUUGCGCCUUUCAAUUCAAGAAGCGAUCGCUUCUUCCCCUCUUGACCACUUCACCGCUUAUCGCUUUUUAGAGAGAAGCGGUUGCUUUUCUAUUCCUAAGCCGCUUUUAGUUGGAGUAGCGACAAACCCAUCGCUCCGCUUCGUUUCUCGCUUAAAGUGAGGAAGCGGAUGCUUUUUUUAACACUGAUAUGAUCAAUUGUAUAGAGCGAUAAUAAAAAUUAGACAUUUGCAUCACCUGAUAGGAUCCUUUUGACAAUAUUUAUGCACCAAAAAGAUGAACAAGAUUUAUCUGUAGGCUCAUUGAUGUUCCUUCUUUAUUUCUUUGUCCGGGUCCAGAUUAGCUUCAUUAAAGAUGAUUCAAUUACUGGCACUGGAAAUGCUGUUAUAGAGAACAAACAAUUGUCUGAAGCAGUACUGGAAUCGAUAAUUGGCAAACAUGGAGUUUCCCCUGCAGCUAAGUGCAGUAUCGCCGAAAGAGUGUCAGAACUAUUCAAAAAGAGCUACGCCGAUGCGUCGGUUUGUGAAAAACCAGGAAUUGAGAAAUCCUCCGAUCCAGUGAUUGAGGAGAAACCUACCAUUCCAGAAAUUGGAGUCUAGUUAGGACAACAAAAAAAGGUUAUAGUGCUGAAACUCCUUUGUCAACUUAGCCUGAUGUUGUCAACUUUGCAUGAGUAUACUAGAGGAAUGAUUUAGCCUAGGGUUUUCUAGUUUCUCUACUAUGUAGUAGUAUUCAACAAGGUCCCAUCUUUGAAACUCUGUUUGAUAUGUAAUGUGGGAGGCUCUACGAUCC